AUUAAUACGUCGCUAAAGAGUUCCAAAAACAACUGCUUUUUAUACAAAAGCAGACUAACAAUCUAAAAAUUAAAGGAAUAACACAGAAAACACAAAAACCCCCGAUAUAACUUAAUUAACCUAUGAAAUGUCACUAGUGUCAAAAUUUGAUAAAUGUCAUUAGUGUCAAAAUUUUAUAACAGUGGAGUAAACUUGCCUGCGGUUGGACCAAUUACAAACAAGCAAUACAGCGCGGUAAAUUUGAAUCACUCCUCUUGGUUAAAAAACAAACCAUAGUGAACGACUGACGUUUGACAUUCGAUUGAGAGUGUUCUGUGUUCCAUUUGUUUAUGUUUUUAUUCUUUGUUUAUAUAAUUUAUAACCUAAACCUAGACGGUUUUGUUUUUAUUUUAAAUAAAACUGAAACUGUCUAAACUAAAAUGGAUAAUAUUCUUGAAGAACUUUUGUUUGGGGACGAAAUUAGCAAAUGCCGUUAUACAUUUAGCAGAUGUACCUACCUCAAAUUAUUCCAGAAGGAUGAGAUGAAAUUAAAUAUAUAUAAACCAUAAUUCAAUAUCCAAUUUAGAGAACAUUUUCGUAUGUCCAGAACUACUUUCCAGGAACUAUUUAAUUGUAUUGGUCAUAUCCACCAAUUUGAAAACAGAAUAAUUCUAUUGGAAAAAAUUAAUGUUUAUGAUGUGGAUGCUAAGUAAACCAGAUAAUUUGUUGCUGGGGAUACGUUUGGUUUGCCAAAGAGCUCUGGACAUAAGAUUUUCACCCAAAUAAUAUAGAAUUACAAAAAAUUGGAAAUAACUAAUCUUGAAUAUCAAUGUGUAUAUUGAGUUUAAUUUUAUUGUAAAUAUUCUAUAAUAUAAUUUUAUUGUAAAUAUUGUAUUAACACAUUUGUGGACACAUUUUCAUAUGCAGACAGUAAUUUCCCUUUGUAAGUACAUGCAUAUAUAGUCGUAUCUGCGAAUGGGUUAAUUGUAAAUCGUAAUCAAUAAAAAUUUUUUGUGAAUCAAUAAAAAACUGGUUUGUUUGAAAAUAAAUGUAGUACAAAUGUG